GUUUUGUAGCUCUGUUAUUAACGAGGAAUUCUACACUGUCACACUUGCACCACGUCAUCAAUAACAAGCCAAUCACAUUUCUUCUUUUCAAACAAAAGUACAAUACAAAUACUUUUUUACAAUCAUGAUGGGACAUAUAUUCUUAAAAGGAUUAAUUUGAUUGAUUUGUUACGCCACGUCAUUAAUAUACCCGUUGCAUUCUAGAAUUUUUCGUUAUUAACGGGGUAUAAUAAUAACAACUAGCGACGCACGCGCGUUUAGAGAUGUCACCGGAUCAGAUUCGGAGCGAAUUUUUAAAAAUUCGAAGCCGAACCUGACUCCAAACCCGAGAUCCGAAUCCGAACCCGAAUCCGAUGGAUUUUAAAAAUCCAUAUUCAAACCCGAAUCCGACCAAAAACCCGAAACCCGAAAUCCGAACCCGAAAAUUUGAACCCGAAACAAUUAUUUCUUUUUUCAAUAUUUUAAAAUAUAUUAUAUUAAAUUUAAAAUUUUAAAAUACAAAUUCAAAUAUAACAUCAAAUUUUUUUAUAUAUAUUAUAUAUAAUACAAAAUAAAAUCGUGUUCGGGUCGGGUUCGGGCCGGGUUCGGGUUCGGGUCUGUCACGCCCCGGAUUACACGUUCCCCGGGCACGCCGACAAAUCCGCCGUAUACAAAGAAAUUUUCCCUGUAUACGAAGCGAUAGCUGUACCUGUAAAUCAAACACUACUACAAACAGUAGUAGAGAGCUGCUAGAGAAAACAGAAGCUAAAUAAAACAGAGUUUCAUAUACAUAGUUCAGAUCCAAAAUACAGAGCUACUCGCACUGGCGAGUUAAGUCAACUAUGUACACAAACUCGAAACAAAACCUCUACCUGCAGUAGGGCACCUCUAGCUCAGCACGUCGGGUAGGGCUCUAACUCGCGACGCCCUUGCCUCGAUCCUGAUCCACGGUCGGUGCAGCAGCCGGAACCUGUGGCUCUGCAAAAACAUAGGUAACAACUGGGCGUGAGAACUACUGUAAAACAAGUAGUCCUCAGUGGGUACCGCCCAAAACAACAUCGGUCACCCACUAAGUCUACAGAAGGGAGCAAGGAUAGAAGGAAAGCAGGAAGCAUACUCUACCGCUAUCAUCCACUACACUAUCAUGCUCUACACUAACCAACUGUAGGAAAUGUCAAAUCUGACCCAAUCCAAUCGGGACUGUAAGCAUACCCGUCCCCGGGACUGUGAAUACACCCGUCCCUGCCCCGUUGCGACUAUCGGGCUCUAUCCACUCUAACUGGUCCGUGGAGAGCAAGUCCAACUGGCAUGAGCGACACCAACGCAAAAGCACAAGCCUGACUCCGGAGUGGCACUCGUGGGCGCUACCCAACCGAGUAUGCAGCGUAUCUCUGUCGAGCUCAAUCAGGCUCCAACUAGCCAAAGUCAAGUAAUCGACUCAAACUGGUCUAACAACCAACAGGUAACGUGCCCUCGGCACAAUCUGACGCCAAAAAGGCGAUACGGGUCCACCGUCAACUCUGACGGCACCCAACAGUCCGAAACGACCUGAACGACCCUGUAAAAAUCCACUCGGCGAACCAGCACGAGUGUAAAUACAUUCUAAACUACCUGGAGUACUCGUCUCGAAGAAACUGCGACAGUACAAUUUUCUAACGGCUCCUAGAGCUAAAUCAGGUAGUUAAAACUGGUGACAGGUCCAAAUCGCAGGUUUUCUCCUAAUUCAAUUUCCAAGUCCAACAUGUAUAAUCUAUUUAAAUUAUAAAACAUGCUCGAGAAUUCAGAUUUUACCAAUCUAGAAUCAUUCAAGAAUUUGAGCCAAACUAGAUUACCAAAAUAGAGAUCUAUACAUGUCGACGAUUAUGAACUUAGGAGUCAAACCGAUGUAACCCACCUCAAGUGCAAUUUCCUGGCAGCGAACUCAGCCUCGGCCACCCGCGAUGCUGCUGGAUUCCUCAGGGACCACCUAGACCGGUCGCCGAGCUAAAACGACCAAAAUAACACAAAUCAGCCUAAGUUCACAGCAGCUGAGAAAGGUUCAGUUUCGACCAAGCUAACCUUGUCCAAAAAUUGCAAAUGAGGGCUCUGUGGAAUCCUCUCGCAGUCUAGAAUCCAAUGAACCAAGUUUCGUCGCGAUCCGACGCUCCUACGCGGAGAACGAGCCGAAAUACUAACAGUCGACGCAGGAAAUCUGUGAAAACAGCACGCGUGGGCAACUUGGAAUCGAAGAUGGAUUCGGGGAAAAAUGCGACCAAAACAACUCACCUCCACAGUGAGGAACUACGACGCGGCGACAGUAACGUCGAAGACACGCCCUCGCCCGGCCUCCUCGCAGCGCCCCGGUCACACGCGCACUCGAACGGCUCGCGGCGCGACGUCGGCGACGAACUCCCUCCAACCGCACACCAACCCGGCCUAGAGAGAGAGAGGAAGGAGAAUGGGUGAAGAAGUGAGAAAUCUCUCUCUCUCUCAGCUCACUCUGCAGCUAAAUAGAGAGAGAUGGUGACAAGAACGAGAAAAAAAAUUACUGUUUUAUCCCUCCACCAACUCCCUUGUACCGGUACACGGCUUGCUGUACCGGUACAAGGCCAAACCCGUGGGCACCAACCUCCUGUCGCGCAUCCUGUACCGGUACAGACGGACCCUUGUACCGGUACAGCAAGCGACUUCCCACGGUGGUUGUACCGGUACAGACCAACCCUUGUACCGGUACAGCAGAGUAAAAAUUCUGCAAUUUCGCAGAUUUUCACACAGAAAGAUGACCUCACGUCGCACAGAGUCCGUUUCGCGUCUAUUUGACGCCAACGUGACUCGGGCUUGUCUCGACACUCUCCAGAGCUGUCGACAAGUCCCCACUGACAGAAACUGGGUCUCACAGGGUCGGACAAUCAAAAUCCAUAUCCAAAUCCAUAUUCGUCGGGUUUCUAUUUUUUAUAUCCAUAUCCGAAUCCAUAUCCAAAUCCAUCGGAUAUAUCCAUUUCAUUCGGGUUCGGGUUCGGAUAAAAUUUCAGGUAUCCAUACCCAUUGACAUCCCUACGCGCGUUGCGAUGGAAUGAUUGCAUAAAUUAAAUAUAUAAAUAAAAUAAAAUAUAAUAAAAUAAAGUUAAAAAUUAUAU
rnacentral:lncRNA from 1 species